GGGGUGUGCUCAGAGCAGGGGGCCUGAGGAGUGGCUCCUCUGUUUACAACACACCCAACAGGAAUCUCUGGUCUAUUGUGACAAAGGGAGGCACAGAACUUGUGGCCUCCCUACAAACAAAUGCCCCACACUU
rnacentral:snoRNA from 1 species